rnacentral:rRNA from 1 species
UUGGGACAAGAAGACCCUAAGAAUUUUAAAGAUAAUAAUUUUAAUAUUAAAAUUAUUAUCUUUUAGUUGGGGCAACUAAAAAAGAUUAUAAACUUUUUAUUUAAUAAAAUGAUCCAUUAUUAAUGAUAAUUUGAUAAAAAUACUCUAGGGAUAACAGCGUAAUAAUUUUUGAUAGAACAUAUAGACAAAAUAGUUUGCGACCUCGAUGUUGGAUUAGGAUACUUUUUUAAUGAAGAUGUUAAAAAAAGAAGUUUGUUCAACUUUUAAAGUCCUACUUGAUCUGAGUUCAGACG